rnacentral:rRNA from 1 species
UACGUAGGGUGCAAGCGUUGUCCGGAAUUAUUGGGCGUAAAGAGCGUGUAGGCGGCCCGACCAGUCCGCUGUGAAAGUCCAGGGCUCAACCCUGGAAUGCCGGUGGAUACUGUCGGGCUAGAGUCCGGAAUGGGCGAGUGGAAUUCCUGGUGUAGCGGUGAAAUGCGCAGAUAUCAGGAGGAACACCUGUGGCGAAAGCGGCUCACUGGACCAUAACUGACGCUGAUGCACGAAAGCUAGGGGAGCAAACAGG